UNUCUGGGCCGUUACUGACGCUGAGGAGCGAAAGCGUGGGGAGCGAACAGGAUUAGAUACCCUGGUAGUNCACGCCGUAAACGUUGGGCACUAGGUGUGGGGGGCCUUUUCCGGGUCUCCGCGCCGUAGCUAACGCAUUAAGUGCCCCGCCUGGGGAGUACGGCCGCAAGGCUAAAACUCAAAGGAAUUGACGGGGGCCCGCACAAGCGGCGGAGCAUGCGGAUUAAUUCGAUGCAACGCGAAGAACCUUACCAAGGCUUGACAUGUGCCGGUCUGCUCCGGAGACGGGGUUUCCUCCCUUGUGGGGGCUGGUUCACAGGUGGUGCAUGGUUGUCGUCAGCUCGUGUCGUGAGAUGUUGGGUUAAGUCCCGCAACGAGCGCAACCCUUGUCUCGUGUUGCCAGCACGUUGUGGUGGGGACUCGCGGGAGACUGCCGGGGUCAACUCGGAGGAAGGUGGGGAUGACGUCAAAUCAUCAUGCCCCUUAUGUCUUGGGCUUCACGCAUGCUACAAUGGCCGGUACAGAGGGCUGCGAUACCGUGAGGUGGAGCGAAUCCCUUAAAGCCGGUCUCAGUUCGGAUCGGUGUCUGCAACUCGACACCGUGAAGUUGGAGUCGCUAGUAAUCGCAGAUCAGCAACGCUGCGGUGAAUACGUUCUCGGGCCUUGUACACACCGCCCGUCACGUCAUGAAAGUCGGCAACACCCGAAGCCCGUGGCCCUAUGGGGAGCGGUCGAAG
rnacentral:rRNA from 1 species